CAGCCGCCGCGGUAAUACAGAGGGUGCAAGCGUUAAUCGGAAUUACUGGGCGUAAAGCGCGCGUAGGCCGUCGAGUAAGUCGGGUGUGAAAUCCCUGGGCUUAACCUGGGAAUUGCAUUCGAUACUGCCUGACUAGAGUGUGGAAGAGGGAAGCGGAAUUUCCGGUGUAGCGGUGAAAUGCGUAGAUAUCGGAAGGAACACCAGUGGCGAAGGCGGCUUCCUGGUCCAACACUGACGCUGAGGCGCGAAAGCGUGGGGAGCAGACAGGAUUAGAUACCCUGAUAGUCCACGCUGUAAACGAUGAGAACUAGAUGUUGGGGGGUAUAACCCCUCAGUGUCGCAGCUAACGCGUUAAGUUCUCCGCCUGGGGAGUACGGCCGCAAGGUUGAAACUCAAAGGAAUUGACGG
rnacentral:rRNA from 1 species